rnacentral:rRNA from 1 species
UGGGGAAUUUUGGACAAUGGGCGCAAGCCUGAUCCAGCAAUGCCGCGUGAGUGAAGAAGGCCUUCGGGUUGUAAAGCUCUUUCAGUCGAGAAGAAAAGGCUGCAGUGAAUAACUGUAGUUUAUGACGGUAUCGACAGAAAAAGCACCGGCUAACUACGUG